UACCCAUGGUGAGGAUACAUAUUCAACAACUCAUUAAAUCUCUCCCAAGACUGAUACAAAGUCUCACUAUCUUUUUGUGCAAAGGUAGAGAUUUACCUUUUUAAAGCG